rnacentral:tRNA from 1 species
GGCACUGUGGCUCAGUGGUAGAGUGCUAGACUUGAGCAAACAAAGCUCUAGGACAGUGCCU